AGCGAACGCUGGCGGCAGGCCUAAUACAUGCAAGUCGAGCGGCCGUAGCAAUACGGCAGCGGCAGACGGGAGAGUAACACGUGGGAACGUACCCUUCGGUUCGGAACAACCCAGGGAAACUUGGGCUAAUACCGGAUACGUCCGUAAGGAGAAAGAUUUAUCGCCGAAGGAUCGGCCCGCGUCUGAUUAGCUUGUUGGUGAGGUAACGGCUCACCAAGGCGACGAUCAGUGGCUGGUCUGAGAGGAUGAUCAGCCUCACUGGGACUGAGACACGGCCCAGACUCCUACGGGAGGCAGCAGGAGGGAAUAUUGGACAAUGGGCGCAAGCCUGAUCCAGCCAUGCCGCGUGAGUGAUGAAGGCCUUAGGGUUGUAAAGCUCUUUCGGCGGGGAAGAUAAUGACGGUACCCGCAGAAGAAGCCCCGGCUAACUUCGUGCCAGCCGCCGCGGUAA
rnacentral:rRNA from 1 species